AACGAACGCUGGCGGCAGGCCUAACACAUGCAAGUCGAACGCUCCGCAAGGGGAGUGGCGCACGGGUGAGUAACACGUGGGAACCUACCUUCUGGUACGGAACAACCAAGGGAAACUUUGGCUAAGACCGUAUACGACCUCCGGGUGAAAGAUUGAUCGCCGGAAGAGGGGCCCGCGUCCGAGUUAGGUAGUUGGUGAGGUAACGGCUCGCCAAGCCUUCGAUCGGUAGCUGGUCUGAGAGGAUGGAACCAGCCACACUGGGACUGAGACACGGCCC
rnacentral:rRNA from 1 species